rnacentral:rRNA from 1 species
AUUGAACGCUGGCGGCAUGCCUAACACAUGCAAGUCGAACGGCAGCACAGCAGUAGCAAUACUGUGGGUGGCGAGUGGCGGACGGGUGAGUAAUGCAUCGGGACCUACCUGAACGUGGGGGAUAACGUAGGGAAACUUACGCUAAUACCGCAUACGUCCUACGGGAGAAAGCGGGGGACCUUCGGGCCUCGCGCGGUCAGACGGACCGAUGUUCGAUUAGCUAGUUGGUAAGGUAAUGGCUUACCAAGGCGACGAUCGAUAGCUGGUCUG